AGUGAACGCUGGCGGUAGGCCUAACACAUGCAAGUCGAACGGCAGCACAGGAGAGCUUGCUCUCUGGGUGGCGAGUGGCGGACGGGUGAGGAAUACAUCGGAAUCUACCUUUUCGUGGGGGAUAACGUAGGGAAACUUACGCUAAUACCGCAUACGAUCUACGGGUGAAAGUGGGGGACCGCAAGGCCUCAGGCGAUUAGAUGGGCCGAUGUCCGAUUAGCUAGUUGGCGGGGUAAUGGCCCACCAAGGCGACGAUCGGUAGCUGGUCUGAGAGGAUGAUCAGCCACACUGGAACUGAGACACGGUCCAGACUCCUACGGGAGGCAGCAGUGGGGAAUAUUGGACAAUGGGCGCAAGCCUGAUCCAGCCAUACCGCGUGGGUGAAGAAGGCCUUCGGGUUGUAAAGCCCUUUUGUUGGGAAAGAAAUCCUGUCGAUUAAUACUCGGUGGGGAUGACGGUACCCAAAGAAUAAGCACCGGCUAACUUCGUGCCAGCCGCCGCGGUAACAC
rnacentral:rRNA from 1 species